AUUAAGAAAAUCCAAUGACGACAAUAUACUUAAGGAGCAAUAUUACAGCAAAGAAAUUAAAUCAAUACAGGUAAAUAAAUGAUCCAAAGAUUAAUUCAUUCAAUAGAAAAAACAUGACUGACUCCAUAAACGGCAUAAAUCUGAACAAAAGAGUUAGAAUAAUUGGAAAUCUGAACAAUUUGUGUACCCAUCACUGUAUUGGACAUUAAAAAUUUCCCGAGAAGAUUUUUGCACCAAGCAUUCAUAGCCAUUCCUUUCCUUGCAUGUUCUCCUUCUUUCUUUUUCUUUCUCUGGUGUAAUUCCCACACGUCUUCUUUAUGCCAAAUACCCCUCUUUUCAAAGGAGGCAGCCCCACUUUUCAAC
rnacentral:lncRNA from 1 species